rnacentral:rRNA from 1 species
GACGAACGCUGGCGGCGUGCUUAACACAUGCAAGUCGAACGGUGAAGCAGAGCUUGCUCUGUGGAUCAGUGGCGUACGGGUGAGUAACACGUGAGUAACCUGCCCUUGACUCUGGGAUAAGCGUUGGAAACGACGUCUAAUACCGGAUACGAGCUGAGACCGCAUGGUCAUCAGUUGGAAAGAUUUUUUGGUCAAGGAUGGACUCGCGGCCUAUCAGCUUGUUGGUGAGGUAAUGGCUCACCAAGGCGACGACGGGUAGCCGGCCUGAGAGGGUGACCGGCCACACUGGGACUGAGACACGGCCCAGACUCCUACGGGAGGCAGCAGUGGGGAAUAUUGCACAAUGGGCGCAAGCCUGAUGCAGCAACGCCGCGUGAGGGAUGACGGCCUUCGGGUUGUAAACCUCUUUUAGUAGGGAAGAAGCGAAAGUGACGGUACCUGCAGAAAAAGCACCGGCUAACUACGUG